UCAAUUCCAAUGCUUAUUUUUAAAACUUUUGAUAGCAUCCCGUUUGGCUAAUAUCUGCAGUAACUGCAAAAUGUUUGAAGUUAGGCUGUUCGGCUUUCCUCCGUCUCCGACGAGUGCGACGACGGGCAGCGAGGACGAGCUGCGGGUCGCAAAGCAACUUGCCUCGGUGAACCCGUACGGCAUAAAAUAGCGAUGAAGAUGAUGAUGAUUUAAGCAUCCGCAAAGCCUUCGCUGUCUUUCUGCGUCAGUAAAAUGUCCACGGGCCGUAGGUACGGACGCGUUCUGGAAACCGUUGAUUUAUUCCGUUGUUCCUAUCGACUGAAAAGGAUGACGGCUGUUAGCUUUGAAGGGCUCCCCCGAGUUGCUGUGAGUUGCGUAGUUCAGGUGUCUGAUUUGAAGUGUUAUUGCUUGGGACGGCUAAAAGAAGAAAACCCAAAGAAACUGUCGGUUAAACGCAAAUAGCAUUGGAAAUGUUUUCGUUCCUUUCAUUCGGUCAUCCCUCGAGUGAAUUUUUCAAAUGAGAGCAAAGUUCUGUUAGAGCGAUGACAAAUAGAAAAUAGUAUUUACUACCAUUUGUGCAGGAAACUGCAAUAAAACUUGCCGACGGGGUGAAAUACGGCGCGGUCCCUUUGAAAAUGACACGGGACUAGUUAAUCCUGCCAACUCCGUGAAGGAGAAAGGCAAGUUUACGUAAUUCGAGAAGAAAAUGAAAACAACGCUCGAUUCUUUUGUUGCGCCUCUCUCUGUGAAGUGAAUUCUAAUGGCCCAUCUCGCGCUUUGAAGGACUCGUUGGUGCUUACGUAGUUAUGAUAUCAUACCUGUGCUUAAGCUAUGAGCUCAGGCUGGAUGUAAAUAACGUUUCGUUACUCUUGUUUCCACGCUAGAUGCAACUUCUUUGGACACCUGAUAGUUAUUUCAAGAUCUGCGUUUAACUACUCAGAAUAAGUCUACGUACCAUGCAUUCUGAACCUCCCGCCUAGCCUAGCAGAAAGUACCCUGCGCUACGCGGACGCCACGAUCGCCUCGGCCCCGACGAGAUAUCGAGAGGAUAGCGCAGCGAUUCAAAGCGUGCGUUUACCUUUGCCGAGACGUGAAAGACUGCACUUCUGUGGGUCAAAACCAGCACUUACCGCAAGCGUAUCCUCGUAGACGUAUCCGUAGUAGGGAGUCGCUAUGAAUGGGGGAGGAGCGUCCCGAACAUCCUCCACGUUGACGAAGGAAACGAUAAACAGACGGAAAAAGAUAGCAGACUAUAAAACCCUGCCGUGAAACCAAGACAACAGUAGCAAAGUAGUGAAUUUUCAGGGGAUUUCACUCUGCUGAAGCAUGCGUGCAAUUUCAGUGGAAAAUCAAAUAGGUGAGUGUGAUCGAAGUCUCCCAGGGGAUCUUACGUGGCGGAAGUGAAAGCACAGGGAAUGACGCGUCCCAAAGCCGGGCCUGCGUACACCGAUGCUCGCUUCUCAGCGAAUCUCAAUACGUACGGGUGACUUUCUGCAAAGGAGCUCGCUGCCCCGGCGCUAGAGACUGAGCUCAGCGUGGGGAAUCUGCCCCCGGAUGUUGAUCGGCCGCAGGCAUUGGCCGGUUUUCUGCCUCACCUCUCCACGGUGCUCUCCGUUCCUUCGGACGUGGCAGAGGAGAGUGACUCUGCUGUCUCAGUGUCUAACGUCUUAUUUCAACGACCCUUUAAAUCACGCUUCUCUUGGACCUAAGUUGCCCUACUCAAAUGCAAUCCUUCAACACUACCAGUUGCAGAAGAAAGCUUUGUACCUUGGCUACCACGACAACAAAGUGCGUUCUUGACUUCUCGUAGUCCAGGGUGACCCCUGAUUUGAUGCGUGGGACGCCGCUGUGAUGAUCUACUGUAAACACGGAUGUGCUAGAGCAAAAGGAAAGGAGACGUGGCAGAAGAUUACAGGUAUGUAAAAAAAAGAAAAAAAAAAAAAAUGCUGUAGGGAUUAAUCUCGUAUUUCAUCUGCUAAAAGACAAGACUAAAAUAAUGAUAAGGUUUGGGUGAGUAAUGUAUCUGAUGAAUUUCACCUCUGCGUGUUUAUUAACAAAUCAUGAACCAGCCACGAGCCUUUAGUUAUUCAGAACAAAUCGGUUACCUUCAGUGUGGGUUUUCAAAAUCUUUUCCGUGGUGAAUAGACACCCAAAAGACAUCUGAUUUUCAAAAGGGCCUGAAAAUGUCUCCCUCCCCUUACGGCGAGAGUCCCUAAACGCGCGGCUUUGGGCUUCCGUUCGCUACGGUUGCUGUCACAGUCUUUGUCCUUUCGGUGAUGUCACUACCUGCCCACACCGGACUCUUGUACGAGAGCGCUCUUUCCGAGCAAACUAAGAAUUGCGCCAAAGGAUGCGGCGGCAUUCUUUCGAUAAAUAAAAUGAUUUAGUAAUCUUUGCGUCACGCAAAUAUUUUAGCUAGACCUGGGAGCUCAAAAUAGCUGUUCCUGUCUUCGGAGUCUAAUGGCUUAUUGGAAAAAGCCCCGUGCAAAACUGAAUCCCGCAUGUACUGAAUUUUAACUGGUUCGUAAUUGGUGAAAUCAAAACUGAAUUUCAACAAGGUGCUCUUUCUCAGUAUGCCCGAGCUCUUAACAGGAUUAUCUUUAAUGCUAUGUAAAUAUAUUCCAACUUGUCUCCAUGCAGUAUCUAAGGCACAUAGCGCAACAAAUAGCUGCGUGUUGUUCUGUAUUCCGCGGCCUUUAGAAUAAGGGGAACUACAGCUCAUCUGGAGGGAAAUGGUCACGGAAAUAAUGAAUUUCAAGGGCAUCGCGUAACAAGUUGCCCUUUUGGCAUGCGAAUGUCUGUCCAGCUUCAAAUAUGGAAGCCUUUCUGUUCUUCCCCAGAGGGUGACACCGGCAAGGCUGGUUGCAAGUGGGCUCCAGCUUUGUCGGAAAGAAGACGUAGCGCUCUAUACUGCGAUACGGGUUUCAAUUUUGCACCGGCCUGCUGCAUCCAACAACAGACAGGGAUUCCGUGCGCAUUCCCUUCCGAAGGAAGCUAUAUCGUGCUUUUGAUAUCCCACCUGCGCACAGGGUUACGAGUUAGACUCGCUCUCCUGUCCGCCCAAAGAGGGGGCCAACAGGAGCUGUGCUGUGACGUGUAAGAGUGACGGCGGCGAGCCCUGUUCCGACGUCUGCCUGCCAGGCUGUGCGUGGCUGCGUGCUGGCAGGCGAUAACUUUUGGCCAAAGCUUGUUUUCUUGUGCGUGCUACAGAAUUGGCCCUAUAGAUGCUAGUAGCAGCUCCAUCGUCUGAAUCUUAAAUGAGAGAUGAGUCUCGAAAGUACGGAUAAUACUUUACCUGCAAGAAGUAGGUGAUAGUUCCUCUGGAACCAGUCUCUCUGUCAAGUGCCGUGAUCUUAAAGGUACUGCUGCCGGAGGGAGAGUUCUGUAACAGAAAGCGGUACAACGAUCAGACAGAAGCGGCAAACCAGCAAACUACAAGAAGUGAAAACUGUGUGUGUAAGGAGGCAGAGAGAGGGAGUGCUGGUAGAAAGAACGUACGUGAAAGAGGGAACCAAACAGGCGAGAGAGUAAAAACGGAGGAAACCGGAGCAGAACGAGGAAGUAAAGCUUUCUAGAAUAAACGGGAUGGGAAAUCUGCUAAAAUAGAGCGUACCCUAUUUCCACGGAAACCGAUUCUAAAAUCACAUUGAUCACAUUUGCGGAACGGACCUGGAGUAGCAUGCCUUAAGGCCAUACACCGCAACAAAAGAAUGCGCGUUAGUCCUACCUAUCUUGUGACUUUACUAAAAACAAACCGGCUCCUCUUUACAGUCUACCGAAAGCAGUACGCAAAGAAAUCUUCACCAACCUCUGGAACUCGGACUAUGUAAGGUGUAUUGAUGAACUCCGGGCUCUCAUCAUGAGCGUCCGUUACAAGGAUCCUCGCUUUCUCUGAAACCCGGAGUGGAACAGGAAGAACACGGAAUGACUCAAGCUCAUUUACGUGAACCCGUAACAAAACUGAGCGUAUAAAAGAAAAAAAACAAAGAAAUGAACCAAAACCUGGAAAUGCAAGAAACCAGAAUAAUUAGCCGUGUGGAGAACACCCAGGUAUUUCGAACGUGAAAAAGGAGUCUUAUGCAUAUCGUGGGUUACAGAUUGGGGAUAAUUCACAGAAGUCAUUUUUCUUCUUUAUGGUGUUCGAGCUACCGCGAUACAUUUUACGGGAAUUCAUAAAAGACUGCGUGAAAGUUGGUACCUGGCAGCCAAGAGCAUUAACGAUUAUCUCAUUUGGUAUCAUCUUACUAGGUCAAUAGGAUGCAAAAUUUAGAUGUCGGAAUAUGUGCUUUUUAACAGUCUACCCUGUCAAAUCUGCCUUCAUAAAAAAAUAUGGAAUCGAAAUAUAUUUUGUCGACAGAACUUCCCACGUUUCUGCAAAGUGGGCACGUGCAAGCGAUCUCAUUAAUAGAUUUUCUGUAAAUAGAUCCCUAUUUACAGAAAUGGUGAGAGCCAUCGUGUUUGUAGGAUGUAGGUACCCUCCAAACACAGAAUGAUAUCGCUCUGUUUGAGAUAAGGAAAAGCUGUAGAGUUAUCUGGUUUUGGGGGUAGUUAGAGGGUCACGUUUUUGUGGCACUUCCAGGGACGAAGCCCAGGUCCUCUUACUGGCAGUCUAAUAUCCUGACCACGAGAACAUCUAUCCUUAAACUGAAAAUGCAAUGGAAAUUUGUAGAUCUAGGACUGGCUGCUCGCGCCUCGUAUAAGCCCUUAAUGAUUAGAUGUGAUCAAAGCUGUGUUCAGCAGCAGACAAGAAAACCACCUUGGCCUCAGCAAAUCUUCUCAACUCUUCUUACAAGAGAAACAUUGCGGGGGUGGAGGCCAGUCAGCUAUUGCACGUCUAACUCUGGUUCCAGUCCUGUUACGCUUCUAACCGAAAAAAAUCUUCACCUAUUUCUUAGUUAUGAGUCCUGCUGAGCUGACAGCGAAACAUCAGGGGAAGCUCCUGUUAUUCCGUAGCCUACUAAAUCAAACUUUCGCCUCACGCAACGCUGUAAAUACCCCUACGCAGCUGGAUUGAGACCUGAGUUACUGGCGGAUUCACGGCUGCCGAAGCAGGAGGUAAGGCUCUAAUGAGAUAAUGUUUUCUGAUAAAACCAGAUAGUCCCUGAAAAGUAAUUUAAUGAAAGGAGGCGCAACUGCAGGGUGAGCGUUUGUCAAGUUAGAGUAGAAUUAAUACUUACUGUACUCAGGCCGUCUGAAAUACUGACGAUAACUUCAAUCUCAUCUUCUUUCUGUAAGACAGCGACGCACAUUUGUCAGGCGGUUUUGCUCAUACUGGAGAAAGAGCUGCAGACUUAAACACGUCUCAGCAGGAAUGAGAAAAUAGCAACUGAUACAAGAAAACCGGAGCAGAGGCUAGGGAGACCCCUCAGAGCCUUCAGCUGAAGUGCUCCAUGGGCUGCCCGGAGAUGCGGACGUGAGACGGCUGCUCUGGGAAUUCGUAUCGCAUUAUGAAGCGCUAAUGAAACAUCAGUCAUCUUUUUGGAGAAAUACUUCCUAGAACGCCAUUAUUAGUUCAAAAUUACUCUGUGUUAGCGUCCGCUAUCGUCGGGAACAUCUCGAACGACCCACGUGGUUAAGCGUUAAAGGAGCGUGACGUAACCGGAAACGUGUCCUCAGACACUGCUUAUGGAAAUUCCUACUUCCCCCUAUCACGGCAGAGUUCUGAAGAAAUCCAAUCGUAUCUGUUCUCGAUAGCGUGCGGGUGGGGGCGCAUAGGAAUAAAAAAUAAACUCCUCCGGCCAAAGCUGAAAAGAGAGCCCUCAGCUGCCAAAAAAUUUGAUCGUACUGCCGGAAGUUCAAGUCAACUGGAAAACAACCCGACGGGUCAAUUAUAGCGCCUCGAAGUUUCAAAUUACAUGUCUCAGGCGCAAACGAGUUGGCACUGUCCCUCAAAGGCAUGGAUCAACUGAAAGUCAAGGAAAUUCCACAAAAGCCAAGUGAGGACAUCUCACUGCACGCUACCUCUCUGUCAAGUUCCUCGAUCAGCAUCACGUUUCCAAGGUUCCCGUCGACAGAAAAGUAGCGCCUGGAUCCAGCUUCAGGGUCAGGCCGUACGUCACGGGAUCUCCUUCCGGAUUGGUUCCGUUCAGAGUAUACACUUGGGCACCUGAAAAAGCGGCCGCUGAGCGCUUCCCUGAGGUUAUGCCGGCAGUGAAUAUAUCUCCAGCCUGCUUCAUAAGGACUUAACCAUCCUGCAGGAGGCAAAGCUUCUGCGAAUCAAACCUACCGCAAAGUACAGGCAUGCAGGCAGUUCAGCGGUUCCGACUGUCUGCUUUGACCCUGACGGUUAAACUGAAUUCACCGGUGCCGUUUUCCCUCGGUUAGGGGCCUUUCCUGUGCAGCUGUACCGUUUGCACCGCGGCUGCUACACAGGGAACAAAUUCCUGACUAUCGACCCGAGUGAGUCCGAAGCGAUGCUGCUGUAAGACCGGGAGACCAUCCUGGCAGCAGCAGCAAAAGGCCCUCACGCAAACCAGCCUGGGCCGAGGGCAGCGCUCCCGCCGGACGAGGCCCGGGCUCUGGAGACGUGGGGACAUUCGCAGACUUGUUUGCCUUCAGACUUACGAGCGAAAGUCUUCCUUCCUGCUUAGCUCCCGCCGUUACUUUUCUCUCAUUAAACUCUCCGCUUAGCACGUUCGCUUUUGCGCAUGCCAAUGAAUACAUUCUCUAAAUUCAUCGAUAUAUUUCCUCCACGCGCCGGGGAAAGAAAGAUCGUCAUUUCCAUUUUUACACGUCUGAGAACUAAGUGCCAGUUUUCACAUUAAACUGGCUUUGCUUAUCCGAAGUGAUGAUUUCUGCGGGAGUAAUGACGCCCGCGCUUUCAAAAGAUGGCGAAUGCUUCUCGGUAUCAUUUUUAUUAAGCUUGGAUGUCUGUCAUUUUUCUAUGCAUUAAUAUCUCCAUCCAAAUAACUGCAAGCACUUUGUGACUAUCAAUAACUGAGCGUGAUAUUUAAAACACAUUUCUGCAGUUUUCUUUUACCUCAUAGCAGCCUGCCGCGAUUGGGGAGCCUUAUCUGAGAUACCCAGGUUACAGAGGUGCAGGACGCAAACUGAGAGGGACGUGCACGGUCAGGCCGCCUCACCUGGGCUUCUUCACCCGCCCUAGAAGUGCUUCACCAGGAAAGGCAAUGAGCAAUCAGCAGCAAGCCCGCAGGUGGCUAUGGAUUGCAAGCUCACUCUCGGGCAGGAUGAGCUGCUCGAGGACAGGGACCAUAAACCAUGACCCCAAACCUGCUCUUCAUCAACCGCCGCUGCUGCUGCUGCACACCCACACCCUGGCUGACUUGGGAGGGGAGGUAGCCACGCCAGAAAACAGCAAAGGAGCUGCAGGAGGUACGGGGAAGCUUGAAGGAUGGAGUGAGGAGCUGGAGCUGUGAGCGCAAAGAAGUGCAACUGAAAACUGCUUUCAGUGGGAGGGAACGCAUAUGUGGGAGCAUGAGGGGAAAAAAAAGAAGAAAAGCAAGCACGAGAGGCGUGAACAAAUCUCCAAAGCACUGAGAAUGCCUGGACUCUCAGAAGCGAGCCCUUAUGAGGGUGCUUCGAUCCCUUGUUUUGCAUCUCUUCUCAGCGUUCCGCUACGAGGGCUUACGGGAUUAAUGGGGUAAGACGAAGCAAACAACCUGAAAUAGCAUCUCACACGCGCUGUAAGACCUUGAUUAGGGUCACGUACGUCUUGUACGUACACAGGCAACUCUUUGCCACGAGCUCAGCGCCAGACAUCCCUACCUGCCCCGAUGCGCGACUGCUCAAACUGCAGCUGCCGCUUUAGCUCAUUCCGUUUCCCAUGGUCCUUAUAUCUGCCACCGGAAGGGGCUGCUGUUCUGGCCCCUCUGACAACAAGGUCUCUCACGAUCUGCAGCUUAAAAGGAAUCUGGAGAUACACGGGCAAUUCCAAGCUGUCACAUACGAAUAGCAAUUGCUUUCUUUACGGUAACUGACAUCAUAAUGUAUAUAACUAACAGUCCACAGCUACCUAUGAGCAGACAAAAUACCACAAGGGAAAAGAAGGCCAGGUAAAAGAUGACACGAGCACGAUAAUGCGCUUUUCUUGAACUUGGCGCUUUCUUGUAGCUGCGGCACUUCUUCCUACAGCAGCAGGGACAAACCAUCACCUCCUUUCAGUGCUCUGAAAUUCUACGCGUCCCUCACCUGCACGGGCCAGGGACCGUAACUAACGCGCAGCUUGUAACCUCAGCAGAGCCGAAGCACUUCCCGUCAGAUGCUGGCUGCGGCUGGGGCACAGCCAAAUAAAGCAUCCUCCCUGAACUCCCAUUCUUAUGUGAGCACAGACGAGACCUAAUGCCAACCCACCCCAGCAUUUCCGCAGCACUAAGCCUGAGCGAAGCCACCCGGAAUCAGCCAUACGCAAGCUUCGGUGCCCCUGAUUCGUCACUGAUCAUCCUGCUCAAAAGUCUAACAUGACUGCGGGACUACGGAUGCUGGGAACUGCGCACGGAUGCAGGAAACGGAUAAAUCUCUCUUCCAGGUUCCCCUGCAGUGCUGGGUCCUCAAGUUGAGCUGUGGCCCGGCUCUGGCCCUCCCGCUCUGUGCAGUGCUGGGAGUUGCUUCUCCCUUGACUUUUAAAACACGUUUGUAAAGCAAUCGGCAAGUACAGACCGGCUAAUGUAGCGUUCUGGCCAAAGACCGCAGUCAUGAGCAAUAGCAGCGCUGCAGAUAGGGCAGCUGAUAUAACCCCUGACCCCUCACGGGCGUUCAGCCAUCUGGGCACACACACGCUCACCUUUGCCUGCCUGCAGCUCCUGAUGGAUGCCAGGGUGCGGCCGUCUCCCUCCUCUGCGCACAAGGUUAAUAGAAAAUGGGUGCUCCGGUAAUCCACUGACGAUAGCCGAGAACUUUUCUUUACAGACGAAUGAGCGAAGACUGAAGAAAAUCUCAGCGCUACGCCUGGAGGUCUUCAUCACAGCAAUUUAAUACACAUUAUCAUUUUUUAGAUGAUCGGAAGUUGUCUUUUUCCCAUGGGAAACGCUGAUUAAUAGUUAUCCGUUUGUUCUAUUCAAUUUUUCUGAAUGCAAUUACAGUUUAAGGAAGAUGCGUCUAAGCCCACCCACAAAGCAUUCAGUCUGAGAACGCAUCAGUUUUUGAAUUUUCGGUGAAACAAAACUAAACUUGUUUCAAAAGAAACGGUUGUUGUUACCGAGCGGUUCUUCUCUAAGCAGAAACGUGUUCGACCAUUUGUACAUAAGGAACAUGGUAACUGCACAGAAAACCACGCCUCUCACUUUGCAGUGAACAGCUUGCUCUUAUCAGGGAUGACAAAGUUAACAGCGAUAAUUUUGUGCUCUCAUAAACGGCACUGAUGAGAAGAUCCCAAAGGUCCUUGCCCUACGCCGCGAACAGAUUCACGGACCGAGGAAAGGGGAAUAAAACAUCACGCUUCAAAUUACAGCUGCAAUUCAGAUGUGCCGCUGUGAAUCAAAAGCUUGAGAAGAAAACCCACGGUGUUUAUUACCGCCUAUGACAAAAUGCGUGUUGCCAUGCAAAAGAGCAAAUGGCUUCGGCUCCAUACUUCAAUCGCAUGCGUUUGAAUACUGACCGACAGGUGUGUCCUCGGAAAGGCUGAGGAGUGCCAUGUUCCCAUUCGUGCUCCUGGCUCCGUUAUCGAAGAAAUAGGGGGCAUAAUUUGCCUGAACUGCAAUUAAAACAGAAGGCAAAGAAAAACGCGUCAUCGGUGGCAGUUACCUAGCUGUUACCCGACUCUCAGUAAACACGAGCUCCACGGGGAAUACUGUAAGGGCGCAACGUACCCGUCGCUGCAGCACGCUUUCAGGGUUCUAUCCGCACGGGCGCUUUCAAUACACUCGCUUCUACCUGCUACCGUGCGUUCGCACAGCAGCCAACGAAGAAGAAGAGCGUGUAAAUAAAUGCUGAGGGAACCAAACUAAGCAGCGGGACCUCUCUAAGAAAUCUCAAUCAGCUCUGGGCAUCUGCAAAACAUUAACCCUCCCGGCAAUACCCGCACGCCUCACCCUGCACUGCACGUGUGGGUCUGAAGCUCCCGGUGCCUCAGCACCUCUCCCACUGCUCUGAACACAUUCUGUGUUCAGAAUGCCCACUAACGUUAUGCCUACUGCACGAGCGAUUAGCCAGAAUUAAAUUGUUACUUACUUCCUGCCAGACAACAGCAGAGUUUAAGAAAACAAAAAACAAAGAACAGGUUAGUGGUGUGCCUACCGACGCAGUCAGCUUCUAAACGGCCCAUCUGAAAGAAAUCUAUGUAAGCACAGCGGGAAACAAUUGCACGGGGGUCAGCAGUCGGCAGGGAAAAUAUUUCAGGACGACGUUACCACAACAGUAAGGAUCACCACGGGAUUUAAGGUUAUGCCGUACCUUCCUAUAUUCUUUCUCAAAGGGAUCAUCGUACUCACCGAGGCAGACGUGCAGCAAUCUGAGAAAUAAGGAGGGGACGAAAUGCUUUACACGCUUCAUCCCGCUGCAUAAGGGGACAAUUUCUUCUCUGUUUCAAGGAUUUUAAUUGUUUUUCUUCGAAAGGUCCAGGAAAGCAUCCUUCAGGCCGAUGCGGUGGAGAAACGUGCAAGAGGCAGUAACGGAUGCUAAGAUGUUAAGCGGAGGACACGUCUUGAUUUCUGAGGAAUUUCAAGCAGCUCCUUCCUACCACCUAAUUAGACCAAUUACUUUGCAGGGAGCCGCGGGACUCGUUUCUCAGGCAAGAUUUGGAGGAAGCAGUGCACCUUUCCCAGGUUCGGCUGCCGCGUUUGCGCUGUCCAAACGUGAAAAUCAGAGAAAAGGUGAAUCUGAAGGUCGCUUUCUUUCUGAUGUCUCUAAUUCCCUAAGCCGGCCCUCUGCUUCUAAGAGCCGCGAGAGGUUUCUCUUUGCUUCAUGUUUAGAAAUUACGAUAAACCAUUAAGGAAAAAAAUCUAGUACGAGCAGCAAAGAGUAAAUACCGUUGUUAAUGGCUCAAAGGAAAAAAAACGCAUUUGUGACGGCAGAAAAUUCAUCAAAUUGCACACUAAAAAUACAGAAUCAAAAGCUCUUCUUUCUUUUCAUUUUUUCUGUUUGUUUGAACGUUUAUUAAAUUCUUAAAUGCAUACAUUACUGGACAGACCUUACAUUCAGCAAGCAAUUUCUAACUCACUCGCUAAAAAUGUGGAAAAACUUGAAAAAUAGCUUUUCUUUCUUACUUUGGUUUUCCGCACAGAAAAUUUAUCCGCUUUAAUUAGAACUGUAUUUAUCGUCCCAUAAAUUAUAGAGCUAAAAAGCAGCCGGUGCGAAAAGUCGACGACAAAGUCGUCGGCUGCUGGAAGGAACUCCCUCUGCGAUGAUGCCUCCGGUCAGGGAUACUUACAAAGAGCGUUAGCUGUUUGGACGUGACCCGGGGCAAAGCGUUUGUCUUUUAAGCAUGCCUUCAAGAUGUUUCGGUUCUGCUUUUUGACUAACAGCAUGCACGAAAGAAGCGUUGGAAGAACUAACCGAAGAACCCCCCCUUGCAGUGCUUUUAACUCACCGGAAGCGACCGCAGCUCAGGGACCCAUGAUACAAAGAAGCGUGGAGCAGGAGGCAGCUCUGGACUCGGCAACGGGGAACGUUUUUGGCAUUUCCGCGCCUUCAGAUUCCACCGGACCUGCAGUGCUCCCGGGGGCGCUCCUUUGCCCACUGAACGAAUCAGCUGCGGUGCUCCCAGAAAAGAGCGUUGUGAAUAACGUCAGCAAAACUCGCCAUCCGUAGGGGAACGUGUAGGAGAGCGGAAAAGAGAGAAAAAGCUUGGAAAGGCUCCAGAGCAAAUAGGACAGACUCACAAAGGUAAGCAUCGUUGGGGAGUAGCAGCUACGACAGGACAGAAGCAAACUCCUGCUCAAGGAGGCACUCAAUUACCACCUGACAGAAGCUCAAAAGGUAAACGAGGGGAAACAUUCCUCUGCCUUACGUCAGCUUGCUCCUCUUACAGCUCCCACUUAACAGAUCAGACCUGUGGCGCGACCCGUUGCGACCGUUCUUACGCAGCAAAGCCGGGAAAAGCGCGGCAUCAAACCGAUGUUUGGCUGCGGCAACACCCUGCAGCGCUCAGGGGAUCCUGCAGCAGGCAGUUAAGAAGAACUCACGCACUCGCAAGGCAUUCAAAUUUACAAUACAAGGAUCCGACGUUGAAAACCGUGCGGGAGAGAAUGCACGUACAGAAGGGAGAUAUCAAUUUAAGGCCCGUUAGAGAUAUAAGCGUGUCAUCGUUGUUAACAAUAAUACUGAGCCACAGAUAAAAAAACAAAACGCACUCGCCCGGUGCCCGGGAAGAAACACAAAUAGUACCUAAACUUACACUCGCUUCUUCUUCAGCCCGCCGUUUUUAGCGCGCUUCUUUCUGCAGCUUUUUCCUAAGAAAAGGGAGGGUAAGCCCUGCAAAGCAGUUAGCUGUCAGCUCCCCUGACCGCGCUCCAGGGAUCUCAAUCCCCAGGGCCCGCUUCUCCGGGAAGCAAAAUGUCUCGCUCUGAAUUUCAACGAAGCUCAGCUCUUAAUCCCAGCAGAGUUUGAAAACCCAACCAAUGCGCUUCCGUGCACGCGCAGGCUAUACAGCCGGGGAGCGGCAUUCAAGCAGAACAUUUUUUUCUGUCAGAAAAUGCUCUUGCGUUAAAGCUAAUAGAGCUCACGGAACCGGGCUGAUUUUGACGGGAAGAGAAACGGCAGGAGGCGGUUUCGGGACAGCACUGUUUGUAGGAGUGGCAUAAUCCCACUCUCUAUACAACAAACCCUAUAGAAUUAAGUUUCCAAUCUGUAAAUUUUAAGCGUACCGAACGGCAAGAAACAAAAUAUAAGCAUCCCUCUUGUCCAGAAGCACCCCAGCACCCACCUCCGCCCGAGCUAAGGGCAAAGCACCUGAAGAUAAAGGCUGCUAUAACGUGAAGGUAGCCCUUCCACCUGGGUGCAACGCCCUCGCCGACGCCUCCCUGACAGCACCCGCUCGGCAUCUUCGCGUGAAGUUCUCGCCGUGCCCCGCUUCUGCCAGGUUUUGGAUGCUUGCACGUGGAGUUUAAAAGUGAGGGGAAAAUACAAUUAAAGAAAAAAGCGAUUAUGCUCCACUGCUCUGCUUUGCUUUAUAUUAACUGUAUGCAGUCUUCAUAUUUUAUGCCUGCCUUCGUUUGAGCUGAAGCCUCCUCUGUUUUAGUGUCCGGACAGUUUUGCUAAGUAAUGAAAUUCCCAUUUGUGUCAUAACUGCUCCAGCUCCACUUUUUCCUACGCUCAUCCUCCUACGCUGGCUGCAUACGCCAUUAAGCGCUACCUCGGGGCGGAACAUUCUGCGUUUCUUGUAAGUACACGCGCGUAAAUAAAUUCAACGCUACCGGUACCGCACACUUAAUAUAAACCUCACCGUGUGCAGAAAGAGCCCAAAUCACUCUCGCUUUCCCUCUCUAGAUCAGCCGCGAAGAGGAGCGCUGGGAGCAAUCGGCCGUUUCCGGAAGCAUUUUGCUUCCAGAGAAGAACGAUUCGCUCGGAAUUGCUUGGUUCAACAGCCACGAAGGAGAGAAACGGAGCUUAAGUCAUUUUCAAAACACUUCUUGAAAUUCUCCCUAUUUGUGAGUAUUCAGGUGCGAUAGGGGAGCGCUUGUUUACCACUGAAAGCAAAGGAAGGGGAAAAGGGGCGUCCACCGACACACAGCAGUAAGGCGGACGUCCCAACAGCCCUGAGCCUGGCAGAGCUGCGACCGCUGCCACGUAGUUUCUACCCCUCAAAAUUGACUUCCAAAUGACCGAGAAAUGACUCGGACUGCGGCACGUCACCACUCACCACGAACAUCUGUAACAUAAGGGUAAAAACAACGGAGGCGAACAAUCUAGCAACAAGCAACGAUGUCUAUUUCAAACAACUGUUUUCAGCGGUGAUGUUUCCAUGUGUCGCCUCGAAUCUUCCUACCGCAGCCCCAAAGUUUUUGGCUGCUGAGAGAAUCUAUGAGAAGCGCACGGGGAUCCUUAGUGCCGGAACCUGAGUGGUCCGAUGGCAGUAGACCAAAGCCUCAAGUUCCUUUAAGUCCCCUCCACCGUCCGUCAUUGUCGGAGUUUUCUUCCCAGCCGUAAGGAAGUAGAUUCACAGUACUGUUUCAUAAUAACAACGGCAAAAAAGAAACAGCCGUGCGAUAACAGGAGUUAGAUCUCAUCAGAGAUACGUGCUCGAGACGGUGGCAACUUGACACUUCCCUGUUACCAGAACAAAUAAAUCACUUCCUCUAUAAAGGUGACGUACCUCUCCGCAGCUUGUUCCCAUCACUGGAAAUAUGUAAAAUUGUUAAAAACAAGAGGGAAUUUCUUGACAGUCUCGGAGGAUUUAAGCCAAUAAACGUAUCUCUUUCUUCUUCUCACCGCGUUCCUGUUUUAUUUUGUACUGAACGAGCUUAAUGCCUUUACAUCUGAAAUAAAUGCUUAUCUCAAAGUUACACCGCUACUCGUGGG